CUGAAGUGGAAACUGGGGGUGAAGUUGGUGAGGAAUUAGUUAUUUUGACGGGCCAUUGCCAUUUACUGCAGAUGAUUUUUAUCCGAAACUGCAGAAAAAAUGAGGGAAAUACUUAUGCGAUAGUUUAUGAUUGACGGAAAAGAUUGCUAGAAGUCGCAGGGAGUUUGAAAUAGAGGUUAAUUUUCUUGCGAAGGUUCGUAUCUGAAUAUAUGGGCUCUUAGAGCUUAUUAUUUAGGCCCCAAAGGAGAAAAGCUUCUCGUGUUUGAUUACAUGCCUAAAGGGAGUCUUGCCACUUUCCUCCAUGCUCGAGGUCCUGAUAUGCCCAUUGAUUGGCCAACAAGGAUGAACAUAGCCAUCGGUGCAGCUCGUGGUUUAAGCUAUUUUCACCACAAUGAGAUAGGUGUGUUAGUGUAGUUGCUGAUAAUGGUGAUCCGGCUAGUGUUGGUCGUGUUUAAAUGCAAGUUUAUGGAGUUGAUGAAUGUUGGACUUAAGGUUGUGUUAUCACCAACGAGACAAUAGCAGUAUGCACAUUGGCUCAGAAUGCACCAGCAUUGGCAGAGCAGUAGAAGCGGAAGAGUUGGAGUGCUUGGCAGCAGAAAAGGCAGUAGCAUGGGCAUUCUCCAGAUGAAACAAGAAAGUUAUUUUUGAAGCUGAUUCUCAGCUAGUAGUUAAAGCAAUUAAUGAAAUGAAAAUGGAGUCUCUUGGCAACACAGAGGCAUCA